UGGUGUUUGAAAUCUGACAUUUAACCUUCUUUUAUCUUCAUUUGAAAAAAGCAUGAGAACUCUCCAACAGAGGAGGAGGGAGGGAAAGAAAUGUUGUUUGGCUCAGAGUUCUGCUCUUUCUCAGUCAAGCAUUGAAAACUGUUGUCCAAAGUACGCUGAGAAUUAGGGAACAGCAAAUUUGUGCAAUUGAAAACAGUUAUGUAAAUUGAAAUGCCAAAUUUCCUGUGCCAGAUGCAAUAUGAAUUCACUGUAGGGCAAGAACUAUCAUUAGAGCUCCCUAGGAAAGGAACUAGAAUAGCAAAGUAAUGAUUUUAGGGUAAUAUGCUGAUGUUAUUUGAAAGCUGGGAUCGGGAUGCAAACAUUUGUGCAACAUUUUGUUUUACACAGUCCCUUGUUAAUGCAUCUGGUAUUCAUUUUAAUACCACUAAUCCUAAUGGAUUCAUUUAGUACUCAUGUGGAUGUCAUAUGCACUUCCUGUAGGUGUUGUGCUGUGAUGAAGUACUGGUUACUGGACACUUAAAGUGUUACCACAUUUCCUCUGAUUAUGUAAAUUUUUUCCUAAGCUGUCACAAUAAAAUUCUUCCUGGUACAUGUUAGCAGAAGCAGCUGUAUACGAAACCAUUGUAUCAGCAGUAUUUGAAUAAUGUCAUGGCUAGGGGGAUUCAAGCCUAAUAGACAAAGCAUUCAGUUAUCCUGGCAGUAAGUGUACUUUGAAAGUAUUUCAAGAAAACAGUCUUGGAUGCAUGCAAGAAUAGAGCAAACAGACAGGUUUUGUCAAGGUGAAAAAAUCAGGAAAAAAAAAAAAAUGGUGUGUGAGGGGGCAAUAAAUCAGUAUUCACUUUAUCUAGAAGAAAUUUAUUUCCCAGUUUUUGUGUGGACCAAGGAAUGUGAAUGGGGGAGUGGGGCACUGUGGUUUGGUCAGCUAGAUGCUUGCUGUAAUUCUGUCUUCAGAUUUUUAUUUUUAUUUUUUUCAGAUUGGCCGAUCCUAUAUGUUUGUGAAGUUUGUAACAGCAUUUAUUCAGAACUACAGUCUCCCUGGUAGUCCCUCUUAAAAUAUCAGAAAGCAAUUCUAAUAUAAGCAAGCAUCUAUGGAGACAUCUAUGGUUUUGUACAACUAUUUUAUGACUGUGAACCCUGCCACCUGCCCCUCCCUACAAGGUGUGUAUGGCUAUGUCUUUGCAUGAAGAAAUAUGUUAUUUCCUGUGACAAUGUAUAUUAUCAUAACAUUGAGAUAAUGAGUUAUUAUUGCCUGUUAAAAACCACUUUUUACCUUGAGGCUACUUUUCACCUUCUUGGUCUCCUGGAAAAUAGCUGAGGUUGUAAAGGGAACUUUAUAUAGCUCGUGUGCUAUUUUAUAGCAUCAAAAAGGAAAUGCUGGAAUGUGCUUUCUUUUAUAUUCUUUCUAUUUUAUUUAUUCACUUAUUUAUGCUGAGUUACAGCUCAGGUCACCUGUUAAUAGGC
rnacentral:lncRNA from 1 species